UACGAAGGGGGCUAGCGUUGCUCGGAAUCACUGGGCGUAAAGCGCACGUUGGCGGAUUUCUAAGUCAGGGGUGAAAUCCUGGAGCUCAACUCCAGAACUGCCUUUGAUACUGGGAAUCUUCGAGUCCGGGAGAGGUGAGUGGAACUGCGAGUGUAGAGGUGAAAUUCGUAGAUAUUCGCAAGAACACCAGUGGCGAAGGCGGCUCACUGGCCCGGUACUGACGCUGAGGUGCGAAAGCGUGGGGAGCAAACAGG
rnacentral:rRNA from 1 species